GUUCUGGUAGCUUAAAAACUAAAGCCCUGGUCUUGUAAACCAGAGAUGAGGUCUGCCCUCCCAAAACA
rnacentral:tRNA from 1 species